CAAUAGCGUAUAUUAAAGUUGUUGCAGUUAAAAAGCUCGUAGUUGGAUUUCUGGUGGGAGCGAUCGGUCUGGCGCUUAGCGCGAGUACUUGCAUCGUCUACGGCCAUCCUUGGGGAGAGUCUGUCUGGCAUUAAGUUGUCGGGCAGAGGAUCCUCAUCGUUUACUGUGAAAAAAUUAGAGUGUUCAAAGCAGGCUUAUGCCGUUGAAUAUAUUAGCAUGGAAUAAUAAGAUAGGACUUUGGUACUAUUUUGUUGGUUUGCGCACCAAAGUAAUGAUUAAUAGGGACAGUUGGGGGUAUUCGUAUUCCGUUGUCAGAGGUGAAAUUCUUGGAUUUACGGAAGACGAACUACUGCGAAAGCAUUUACCAAGGAUGUUUUCAUUAA
rnacentral:rRNA from 1 species